AAAUUUGAAAGAACUCUUCAUAUAAAUCGUCUAGAUGACUAAACAAAUUUUUGUCCAUAACUAUUCCGGAGAGCUAAACUCUCAAGAGUUGUCAAGCAGAAUAAUAACAAAAAACAACAAUCUUCUAUUUUCGAUCGAAAUCAACGAUUCACUUAUUGAUGAUAGAAGAGAAACAUGACUCCCCGCAUGUGGAUAACAGGUAUCUGCUGUCGCUUCAGCACUGUGUUAAUUUCUGUGUUUUUCAUUUUGACGACGAAUUAAAUCAGUUUCGUUUUUGAGCUGAUCUUUGACGGACGUACUCUUUGGAAGAACUUCUUUCUCGGUUCUUCUAUAUGAUUGGUUAACAGGUGUUUUUUUAGUGGAAAACUUUUCUGUUGAACACUUUCUACUACGUUGGGUGGGAUUUUUCUUUUUUUUUAGCAAGAACAAAGAGCAGUGCAUCACCAUGGCAAAGUAUACGUACCAGAGUGGUUUUGGUUCGCAUUUUUCGUCGGAGCAUCUCGAUUACCCCGAUGCAUUGCCCAAGCGACAGAACAAUCCCCAAAAGUGUGCUUAUGGUUUGUAUGCUGAACAACUAUCUGGAACGGCAUUCACUGCACCACGAAGUAGUAAUCAACGGAGUUGGCUUUAUCGAAUUCGACCAUCCGUAUUGCAUGAACCGUAUGACAAAUUUUUAUCGGCUCCAUUCGUAACCAUCAAUUGGAGUGAGCAACAUCCAAACCCAAAUCAAAUGCGAUGGAAACCGUUCGAAUUGAAUGAUCCGACGAAAAAGUGCAAUUUUAUCGAAGGAUUGCAUACGAUUUGUGGCGCCGGUGAACCGUGCAGCAGACAUGGCAUCGCCAUUCAUAUCUACUUGUGCAAUCAGUCGAUGAACGAUUGCGCGUUUUAUAAUAGCGAUGGCGACUUUUUGAUUGUGCCGCAGCAAGGGACGCUUGAUAUUAAAACCGAAUUCGGUCGUAUGUCUGUUGCUCCAAACGAAAUAUGCGUCAUUCAGCAAGGAAUCAAGUUUUCCGUUGCAGUUUCGGAAUUGUCGAGAGGUUACAUCUUGGAAGUGUACGACAAUCACUUCACUUUGCCUGACUUGGGCCCAAUCGGUGCAAACGGUCUUGCAAAUCCCAGAGACUUUGAAACACCAACCGCCUGGUUUGAAGAUAUUGACAAUAUAAACUAUAGAAUCAUAGCAAAAUAUCAAGGCGCAUUAUUUGUGGCAAAAACAAAUCAUUCCCCAUUCGACGUAGUUGCUUGGCAUGGCAAUUACGCGCCAUAUAAAUAUGAUUUAUCUAAAUUCUGUGUCAUCAAUUCCGUGAGCUUUGAUCAUUGCGAUCCAAGCAUUUUCACGGUGUUAACAUGUCAAAGCCAUCGAGCUGGUACAGCAAUUGCGGAUUUUGUCAUAUUCCCACCGCGAUGGUCAGUUCAGGAAAAUACAUUCCGACCACCAUAUUAUCACCGAAACUGCAUGAGUGAGUUUAUGGGCUUGAUUUUGGGAAAAUAUGAGGCGAAGCAAAGUGGUUUUAACCCUGGUGGAGCAACAUUCCAUUCAAUGAUGACACCGCAUGGUCCAGACAAAGGUUGUUUCGAUGGCGCAUCAAAUGCCAAAUUGAAAGCGGAAAAAAUUGCUGUUGGCACUCAGGCAUUCAUGUUCGAAUCGUCCUUAAGCAUGGCAGUUACAAAAUGGGGAGAAGAAACUUGUAUGAAAUUGGAUAAAGCCUACUUUCAAUGUUGGCAGGGUCUUGAAAAACACUUCAAAAAAUAACAUGAAAAUUUCUUUCUCUUUUGAAAUACGGUUUUUAUUGGUUUUGAUUUGAAAAUCAUUAUUAUCUAGUUUAAGCUACCUACUUCUACGGUUUGUUUCGACAUAAAUAAAAUCACAAUACAAAUUCAUAAGAAAAUGAAAAUAAGUAACAGAAAAAAGAGAAUAUUUCGUUAAGUGUUGGAUGGCCAUUAAUGGUAAAUUGCAAUUGGUUUUGUUUUUAAUACAAAUCAAUAAAAUAAAUACGAAUUUUUUUUUUAGCUGGUUGCUCGGAAUUUCAGAAUUUGAGCAAUUUUUACAAUACGGUUUUCACUGUUUUUGGCUUAAAGCAUUUUAUCGACUAGAGAUCAUUCUGGGAUCCUUUAGAUGCCAAACUAAAAAUCACGGCUAGCAUUUAUCUAUAAACUAAUUGUUAUCAAUGUGUGUGUGUUACACAUACACACGCACGUGUAAAAAUGCUCCCAUUCAAAUAAUAAAUAUAUUUCCUAAAAUUCAUUUUAUAAAA